rnacentral:rRNA from 1 species
GACGAACGCUGGCGGCGUGCUUAACACAUGUAAGUCGAACGGACUACUUUGCUUCGGUAAGGUGGUUAGUGGCGAACGGGUGAGUAACGCGUAGACAACCUACCUCUUAGCUGGGGACAACAUCGCGAAAGCGGUGCUAAUACCGAAUGAAGUGACUUUCCUGCAUGGGAGAGAUACUACAGGUGGCCUCUAUUUAUAAGCUACCACUGAGAGAUGCGUCGGGGUCUGAUUAGCUAGUUGGCGGGGUAAUGGCCCACCAAGGCGACGAUCAGUAGCCGGUCUGAGAGGAUGAACGGCCACAUUGGGACUGAGACACGGCCCAAACUCCUACGGGAGGCAGCAGUGGGGAAUCUUCCGCAAUGGACGAAAGUCUGACGGAGCAACGCCGCGUGAGUGAAGAAGGUUUUCGGAUCGUAAAGCUCUGUUGUUUGAGACGAAUGUGCCUGUUUCAAAUAGGGAUAGGUAAUGACGGUAUUAAACGAGAAAGCCACGGCUAACUACGUGCCAGCCGCCGCCGUAA